rnacentral:lncRNA from 1 species
CGCUGAAAAAACUGAGCUCCCAAAUCUGGACCAAAACGAGAAAAAAAAUAUCAAACAGUUCCGUAAUAAUAGGUACUUAACUUCAACAUAUGUGCAAUAUUCCUGUGAAGAUCCAGGGAUCUGGGUUGAAAACUGUAGGAGUUGCAUACCAAAUUUUGUAUCACGUGUCUUCCCGCCCAAAAUACACUAUUAUCACCCGAUUUGGAUUUUUUUUUAUCUUUUGUUUCCUUUUUACGUAUACAUCAAAUUGCCUGUUUAUCUAUAUCACAUUUAUAAAUAUGAUGAAAUGUAUUUUUUUAAAUAUGUAAUCAUUCUGUCAGUAGACAGAUGCAUAAGAAUAUUCCAACUUCAAGCUGUAGUAUACAAGAAAAAUG